AGCCGUUGAAAAACAGAGUUGCGACACUCCCAUAGACCUCCAUAGGAACUUUGGAAUGCGGAAGUAACGCGUGUCGUGGAGCAGCCGAUAGUUCCAAACACUGAUAGUUCCAGCGCUGAACCCCAUUCAUUUUCAGUGACUCUGAAGUUCGCUCGCUGUUCUCUCCAGCAACAACAGGCUUGACUCGACUCCAGACCCGGUCUCCUCUGGGGCCUCUGACACAGGCUGUUUCCACCUGGAGUUAACAUGCAUUUUGGUCGAUCGGAUCACAAGUGGACGAAGGAGACACAUACAUGUUUACACCUGGUGUUUUAAUCCAUCUCUUUUGUCCUCUUUCAACUACUUCUGUCCUGAUUUCUUCGAGGGGGUGGUUAAAUGUAUGGGUUUUUACAGAUCUUUCAAUCUAAUGGACAAAAUAAGCUUGAGCAGUUUACAUAUGAACGCACCCAGAGAUGACAGGAAAACAUAUUGAGAGCAUCAGUGUUCGCUUCUGCUCUGACAGCCGCGAGACCAGCCGAAUGCUGUGAGUGUGUGUUAGAAAUCAGUAAUGGUGAGAGAACAUUGUGCUUAGUACGUUAAACCAAACUUGGGUCUUCAGCCAACAAAGUUUAAAUCCUGUCUGACUCGAGUGCUUCCUAUAAUGUUUACACAUUAGGUCAGUAGAUGGAGAGUAGGUGGUCUUUAGUGGCUGUUCAAACACAUUCGACUACAUGAGCAUUUACACUACGAAAGCAGUCCGGUCGAAUGCAUUUUCGACUACUUCUGGAAGUGGUCGAAAGUGGACAAACUCAAACCGUUUUAGACCGUUUACACCUGUAUUUAGUGUCGUCCACUUGUGAUCCGAUCAGCCAAAACGCAUCUUAAUACCAGGUGCAAACAGGCCCACAGUCUGCUUCUGGCAGUGGAAUGCUCUCACCCAAAAAAAUCAAGAAGUCGAAUGAGUUUCUUUGAAGACAGAACAUUCAAGGAAAACUUACCUACCCUCUCCCUGGAUAUAAUAUAUAAUUAAAUGUUUUGUUGAAUGCAAUUGUUUGUCUUGUAUAUUUUUCACUGUUGACCAAACUUCUUUCUUGACUUAAACUGAGCAGCUUCAUUCAUUGAUAUUCACUUGUUGUGCAUGUGAAUCUAUCUUAACAUAACACAACAUUAGGAUGUUAGUAAUUAUGACCAUAGAAGCAUGAGAAAUAUAUACAGUACAUGCUGUAAAUGUAUACCUUAUGGGAGCAGCCCCCCUUCCCUCUAAAAUUAAACACACACAAAAAAUUAAUUAAAUUCAAAGGGAUUUAUU